rnacentral:rRNA from 1 species
CGUUCAGUAGCGAGCUUAACCGAGAGGGGAGGCGUAGGGAAACCGAGUCCGAAUAGGGCGCAUAGUUGCUGGGCGUAGACCCCGAAACCAAGUGAUCUAUCCAUGGCCAGGUUGAAGGUGCCGUAACAGGUACUGGAGGACCGAACCCACUAGUGUUGCAAAACUAGGGGAUGAGCUGUGGAUAGGGGUGAAAAGGCUAAACAAACUUGGAAAUAGCUGGUUCUCUCCGAAAACUAUUUAGGUAGUGCCUCACGUAUCACUCUCGGGGGUAGAGCACUGUCAUGGCUAGGGGGUCAUCGCGACUUACCAAACCAUAGCAAACUCCGAAUACCGAGAAGUGCGAGCGUGGGAGACAGACAUCGGGUGCUAACGUCCGGUGUCAAGAGGGAAACAACCCAGACCGCCAGCUAAGGUCCCAAAUGACGUGCUAAGUGGUAAACGAAGUGGGAAGGCAUAGACAGCCAGG